rnacentral:lncRNA from 1 species
AAAGCAAUCUAAGCAAAAAUGAAGAGAAAAGGUCGGCAACAUGGCUUCGUUCGAACCGGGAUGAUUCAUCCAUCGGGAUUUAAUCCAAGACCCUCCAACCAAUUCGUGAACCGGCUUGAUUCACCACCAGUUAUUGGAGUAUUUACCAAAGUGCCAUCAAAACCUACUAAUCAUUCAAAAUCUUCAAGACAUAUAUAUUAUAAUACUAGGAGUAUUCCGGCGCUACGCGCCGGGUUCGUAUAUUUUAUUAUUUAUGAAAUUGAAAAGGGUUUGUUUGAUCUAUUUUAAUAUGUGAGUAUGACGCUGUGAAAAAGGAUAGAUUUUAGAACUAUGGAAAACAAUUAGUUUCUAAAAUUAUUAGAAAAGCCAAAAAGUACAUCAAUGAAACCGGGAAUUAAAACAUAAGAAACCUCAUAUUAAAUUGAAGUGAUCCGAAUAUCAUAGAUUGCUUUCCUUACAUAUGGAACAACUUCUAUUUCUACGAAGCCAGUACUCAAUGCAUGGAAAAUGGAAAUUAUGGCCGCAAGGAAGAUAGCAUAUAUUGUUUCCAUAGUUGUAAUUUUCGAAGCGCACAUCCACUUUUUUCUUCCACAAUUGGAGGCCUAUUAAUCGACAUCUAGUCUUGCAGUUGCGUAUGGGUUGUUGUUCGUUGGUAACCGUUAUUUGAAGAUCAAAAUUCAUGUUGGUUGAGAAUACAUUCUUCACGUAUUGGGCAGUGUGAUGAAUAAGCAAUGCGGAGCCAAGGUGGUUAAUGUUACGGUAUGAUAACAUGAAUUCUAUGCCCUCAGUUGUUGAUGAGUCAGAUAUAUUACCUUGAUGGUUGGUGAUACAUGGGAGCUGGAAAUCAGUGAUAGAUUAUUGUGUAAUGGGUCAAUGGAUGAAGAUCUGGAUUGUUUGCUGCGGAAUUCUGUUUUAAUGUCUUGUUUGGUUUGAGAAAUGAUAAGAGAAUAGUGGUUCAUUAUUCAUUUUUGCCCUUGUGUGAGUAUUGUUUGUUGUAUUUAGGGUUAGGGGUGGUAGCUAUAUCAUAUAUAAGUUAAUAGAUUUUUUUCUUUUCUUUUUGUAUCAGUUUGUUUUAAAGACCACUUAAGUCGAGUAAAUGGUUUUUGUUGAAUUGACUCUCUUUUUUAUUAAUAAUUUUUCAAGCAGCUCUUAAAUACGAUGUUGAACCUUACUAAUAAUUGAAGCAUUAUUUAAUUAUGGUAAAAGAUUCUUAUGGUGUAAAGUAGUAUCGUUAUGUGAAUUUAUAAUUUUAAAGUUUCAUGGAGUUGCUAAAAAUUUAGAGUAAAGUGUAGCGUAAAAUUUGGAUUUUGUAAUUUUCAUUUAAUAGACUAUACGAUUUCGGAAAUUAUUAGAAUUUACAUGUAUUGUAUUCUUUUUUUUUUUGUAGUAAAACUACGUAGUGUUCGUUUGUAGCGUGGAAUGAGAAGCAUUGCCUUUAAUAUAUGAAGUUUUAUGGUGUUAUGAGCCACUACUAUAGAUAUUUCUGUGGCGUUACGUGUUUAGCUUUGCCUAGCAAAUAAGUUUAGUGGAUAUUUUAGUUAAGAAAAUAUUGGUUACAUAGUUUAUAUCUAUUUAAAAUGAGAUUGUUAAUUGAUAAAAUUUCAAAUAUAAAUAGAUUAAAUUUAUUUAUUUUAGGAUUUCAGAAGUACAAACAGGUUUCAAUUAAUGAACAAAAUUAGAUUCAUCAUUCAUGUUAUCAGCAAGUGUUAGACGACCUUCAGCAUCUGUGUUGUUGACCUGAAAAUACCAUUGCCAACAGUUAGCAUCGCCAUAGGAUAAACAGCAAAAGUCUCAAACCUGAAUACAUAAAUCAUAUGAUACCUCAAUGGUCUUUCUGUUUGAGGCUGUGAUGACAUCACCAGGUCUCUCAUUCCAGUUCCACUAAUCAUAUUCUCAAAGGCUGCAACGAUGAAAUGAACCUGGUUGUGGAACACCAGUUGGUUAGUUAUGUUAAGAAAGCUCUAGCUUCAAAAGAAUGUGAAUGGGAGAAGCUUACCCCAACACCAGGACGCUUAAUCUCACCAAUAGCUUUCGCAGCACCAAGAACAGCAGCUGAAUCACCCAUGUCGAAUUUCAUGAGCUCAAUAGAGGAGCCAGGUCAGCCACCACUGUGAACACAAGACUCUCAAUCAACAACCACUAAAACAUCACCAAUACAAAAACAGAUGUGGAAUGCUUAAAGUGAUCACCUGUCAAAGGUCAAUCCUUUUCCAAUAAGUGCAAGUUUGGUUUUAACAGAGCCACUCUGAGGUCUAUCACAAGGUGGAUGAAGAAGGGAGGAUCAGCCGAAGCAGCAGGAACAGCGAGAUAAGAACCCAUCUUCAACUCUCUGCACUGCUCCUCGUUCAAGAUGUUUGCAGUGAACACAUCACUGUUAUGUAGAAGCCACUUUUGCUGCUUCGUCAGCAAGCACAGCUGAAACAACACAAAACCCAUAGCAGAUCAGGACAAUCUCACAAUAUAAACAAAGCAAUUGAUAUCCACAGAUCCAUACCGGGAGUGAGCACAUUGGCAGGAGAGUUAAUGAGCUAUCUCCCGAAAAUGAGGCCAUAAGAUACAUCUUCAGCAUACUUGAGCUUCUUCUCUAGCUCAGGUCCAGUUCCAAAUCCAAUGAUAUCAACAAAGCUUAAAGAAGGUUUCUUUGACUCAGAUUUGUACCUACCAUCUUCAAACAAUCCAAGCACUACGCCUAUCCACACCAUAAGAAAACAAUAAACCCCACAAAUCUGACUCAAACUUGCGUCAUAUGAGUUUCCAAAGACUCGAACUUGUGUUACCUGAAGCUAAAGCUGAUGCAGAGCUAAGCUUGGAUACAUUAUCAUGAGAGGAGAGAGCAACAACAACGCUGCUAGAUUGUGAAGCCUUUACAACCGUAGCAACAGCUUCACCAAGCCCCUGAAAAGCCGCCGCGGAUGAAGCGGACUGUCCUAGGCCGAUCAAACCGAUCAGUUUCACGCCUAAACCGGGAACUCUAAGAACCGUUGACUGACCCGGUUUACCGGCGAAAUACUCUUCCGGCGAGACCAAAGCCAAGAGUCCACUCAAGUGAGUAUCGAGCUUGUUCAAGAUCGGGUUCUCGAAACUUUGAGGUUGCGUCUCUCGUCAAGAGGAUGACAUAGUAAUGAACCCUAAUCUCAUUUGUCUAUAUAAGAUUUGGGCUUCAAUCAAUAAAAGCCCAGUUCAAAGCAAAUAAUACAGAAACAGGCGACAAGAAAAAAUCGAGAGUGUAUUAGUGUGCCGCCACGUGUCACAAAAAGCCACUGUCUCUCUGAUGAUGUGGAGGACUAAGGAGAGAGACAAGCCAACUUUAUUAUAUAAGAUAUAUACAAAUUUAUAAUUGAAAAUAAAAUAUUUAUAUAAAAAUAAAUGAAAACAAAAAUGUGCGUGGUUGCACGGAUCAAAAUCUAGUAACACAUUAUAAUUCAAACAUUAACUCACGCUAAAACUAAUUCAUGAAUGAUAACAUUUUUUUGAAGGAAUGUAAAAUUUAUUUCAGUCAAAAACAUUAUUACAAUAAAUGUGACUUUGGAAUGAUAACAUUUUUUGAAUUACACUCUUAACUCAAAUUUUAAUGAAAAUUAACUCAUGUUGCCAAUCAAAAGCAUGUAUAUAGUAACACUAACAUCAAAUUUUGACUGAAUAUAUAUUUAUGUUUAUUUUAUUUUUGGUGGGUGGGGGAGAUUAAAUGUAUAUAUUCUACUUGCAUGACUCCACACAAAAUAGAGAUAAUCAUGCAUGUACAAAAUACAUGUACUGUAUAUAUAUAAAAGUCAAAAGAUUUUUUUCCAAAAACAACUAUCAGCUAAUAUGAAAGAUUCGUAUAUGAUAAAAAAAAAAAAAAAAAAAUUGGAUAGUAAUUUGAAACUUCUUAAAAGAAAAGAAUGAAAAAUCAUAUAAAUAGAUCCCUUCAUCAAUAACUAGAUAACACAUAACAUAUUUUCUUCUCAGCAAAAAUAAAACUACGAAAAUUACAAUGGAUAUCACAAAAAUCUCAAUCACCCUUUUCUUGGUGAUGACAUUGGCAAUUUCAUCCAACUGUGAAGUUCUGGCCGCAUCAAGUAUAAUCAUUCUUCCCAAAAGAUUUCAUUAUUUUUAUUAUUAUUAUUUUUUAUCUUUGAACAUUUUGAAAGAAGAACUUAUUAUAUAUGUGAUAGAAUUUGCGAUAACCAUGUAUAUGGAUGUGUAAGAACUUUGAUUUGCCAAAAGAAGUACAACUAUUAUUUGGAUAUGGUAUAUAUGAUUAUAAUCUUAACCUUGGUUGUGUAAAGGUGAAGUAAAUAAGACAACAAACUAUGGAGAAUGCAUUUAUGAGGAGCUUUGUGAGAUGGGAAAGUCCGGAACUCAUGAAUGCUUCGUUAAGUGUUCUAAGAAGAAUAAGAAGUACACAGGAGGAAAAUGUAUUCCAAAAAAUCCAGAAUAUGGAUAUUGUUGUUGCACCAUAUAAAUAAUGUUGUUUUGAUAUCAUGUUGUUUUAAAUAUAUAUAUAUAUAUAUAUUUUCUUUAUUGAUGGUUCUCAACUUUAAUGGGUUUUUCAUUCAGUGAAAAUAAAAAUAAAAACCUAUUUAUCAUAAACUUUAUUACACGAGGCACCCAAAAUUUAUUGGGUUCGUUCUUUCUUAGAUCUUUGUUAAAUGAAGCAAAGCUUGGUAGCUUCAUCAUAAGAGAUGUAAUAUAUUGUUAGUUAGUUUAGGUCUUUAGAUUAUACUUUGUGUUAUUUGUAUAUCUAAAACUUAUAGUUUAGGUUUCUAUAUUAGAAAUUUAGAUUAUAGUUUUGUGUUAUUUGUAUAUUAAAUUAGGAUUUGUUAAUUUAUGAUUUGGUAGUUUAUGUAUGAUUUGUUAGUUUAGGUUGUUAGAUUAUAAUUUUGUGUUAUUUUAUUAUUAAAAGUGUUACUGUAUAUAUAUAUAUUUAAAAAUAUUAUUUUAAAUAGUUUUAAAAUUUAAAACGUUUAAAAUUAGUAAAAUGAUAUGAGACAUAUAAUUUUUGAUAAAAGAUUUGAUAACUCGGGACUGGAAUUAUAAAAGGCUAGUGGCUUUCCUCAUCUUUUACUCUAUAUUAUGACAUUUGACUUAUUAGGCUAGAACACAAAACAAGAUGUAGACAACAUUAGGAAGAGCAACCAAAAGAAAGACUUUUGAUCCUCAAUAAUGUCGAGACAAAAAAAAAACAGACAAGGAUAUAUCCCCACAUGCUUGGUAGUUUCUUGGUGCACAAGAACAUUUGACUAUUCGCAUUUUCUUGUGUCACAAACAUAUCCUAAAUUACAUGUCCCUCUAUAAAUAUAUCCACACAUGCUUGGUAAUUUUACAAUUCAUCAAAAUCUCAAAGCAAAAUACGCAAAAAUGAAGAGAGAAGGUCGUCAACACAGCUUCGUUAGGACCGGGAUGAUUCACCAGUCGGGAUUUAAUCCGAGUCCCUCCAAUAAAUUUGUGAAUCGGCUUGAUUCACCACCCGCUUUUGGAGUAUUUACCAAAGUACCAUCAAAGCCUACCAAUCAUUCAAAAUCCACAAGAAAAUGUGAGCGUGCCAAGUACAGUAAAUGCCAUGUGUCACCGGCUAUGAAGUCUGCCGUUACAUCCAAGGGUGGCCAAAAGUUAAAGUCGACCGAUUGGUGGGUUGAGGGUAAGCUAAACCAGCUGAUCGGGUCGGACUCCUCCUCUACUAGUGAUAUUUUGGAUACAUUAUGUGGUGAAGAUUAUAGUGGUCAUGUUUAUGAUUAUGAUUGUUAAUCAUCUCAUUAAGAAAUUCGAAAGUUGUUAUUUUUCUUAUAUGCUUGACUUAGAGAACAUUUGUAAUACUGGUUACGGAAACAAAAAGAAAACAAAUGUUAUAGCUACGGGGGAAAAAUGUUAUAUACAGUAGUCGAGUCAAUGCAAAUUUUGAUUAGAAUGAUAAUGGGCCAUAGUAUCAUAAUCAUAUCUUUGACCACAUAUAUUGUAUUCCGCAUUUAACAUUCUAAAGAACCAUACAUGCAAAACGUACAAAUAUAUGUAUGGGAGAUUCAGGAUGGUUAAAAUAAAAUAAAUUAUCGAGAGAAUGAAAAAUUCAUAUAAAUAGAGCUUCACCAACAAAAAAUCAUAGAAAAACUACAACGUUCUGGCCGAGUCAGGUAUAACGAUUCUUACGGAAUGAUUCUUUAUUUAUUUUGUUAUAUCUUAGUUAAUUUUUUACUAAAUUGUUAUAUCUUAACUAUCCUUGAACAUUUUGAAAGCAGUAUAUGAACUUUUUUUUUUUGUGAAAAAAAACACAUAUGAUAGAAUCCGUGAUAGCCAUUUAUAUGGAUGUGUAAGAACUUUAGUUUACCAAAAUAAAAUAAAUAUUAGAUGGACAUGGUAUAUAAGAUUAUAGCCUUAACCUUAGUUGUGUUUAUAUGUGCAGUGAGUUAGACAACCAAAUAUGGAGAAUGCAUUUAUGAUGAUUUUUGUAAGGUGGGAAAGUCCGGAACUCAUGAAUGCUUCGUUAAGUGUCUAAAGACGGGAAAGAACAAGAAGAAGUAUAUUGGAGAAGAAUGUGUUCCAAAAUCUCCACAAUAUGGAUAUUAUUGUUGCAUCAAACGAUAGAUGUACAUCUUCUUUUUAGAGUUUACUGUCCAUUUGUACGAUGAAUAAUAAUGUUUUUCAGUAUCAUGUUUACAUAAACCAGCUACUUAUAAACAAAAUGAGCUCCAAAAUCUCCAAGAUGAAAAUGUUUUUCAGUAUCAUGUUGCAUCAUAUCAUAGAUGUAAACCUUGUUUUCCUUAUUUCUGGUUGCGAUGUCCAUAACUUUCGACCUCAUUAUCUCUUUUGUUACCACAGAACUUUUGAUUGGGUUCUUUCUUUCUUAGAUCUUUGUUUCUAGCGUCUAGAGUUUUAGUUAGGUGUUUAGUAUGUAUUGAAACGUGAUUGACAGUAAAUGAAACAAAAUUAGGAACUUUAGGCUAGAACACAAAACAUGAUGUGGACAUCUUUAGAAAAAGCAACAAACAACAGACUUUUAAAUUAUCAGAUAAUGUGGAGAAAAAAGAAGAAAAUAAUUCUUGGCGAACAAGUGCAUCUGACUAUUCGCAUUUUCUUGUGUCCCAAACAUAUUUGGUAUAACCCUCAAUUAUGUCCCUCUAUAAAUAUAUCCACACAUGCAUUGGUAUUUUUACAAUUCAUCAAAGUCUCAAAGCAAAAUAAGCAAAAAUGAAAAAGGAAGGUCAUCAACACGGUUUCGUUCGGACCGGGAUGAUUCAUCCGCCAGGAUUUAGUCCAAGACCCUCCAACCAAUUCAUGAACCGGCUUGAUUCGCCACCGGCUUCAGGAGAACAUACCAAAGUGCCAUCAAAACCUACCCACCAUUCUAAAUUUACAGGAAAACAUGAGCGUUCCAAGUAUAGCAAUUGCCAUGUAUUGCCGGCUAUGAAGUCUGCUGACACAUCCAAGGGUCGCCAAAAGUUAAAGUCGACAGAUUGGUGGGUUGAUGAUAAGCUAGAUCGGCUCACCGGUUCGGGUGCCUCCUCUGCUAGAGAUAUUUUGGAUACAAUAGGUGGUGAAGGUUAUGGUGGUCAUGAUUAUGAUGAUGACGAUGACUGUUAAUCAUUUCAUCAAGAAACUUGAAAGUUGUUUUUUUCUUAUAUGUUGAAUUAGAUAACAUCUGUAAGACUAGUUUCGAAAAUAAAAAUGAAACAGCUAUGGAAAGAAAAAAGAAGAAGAUAUUUUCGAAUCAAUGCAAAAGUAUGAUAGAGUGCAACAUUAUUUAGUAUAAAGUUUUUCUAUAGAGUUUUUCUUGGGUUCACCCUUUAGAAUGAACAUGUACAUGUUAACCAACCAAUAAAAUUUAGUUAUUUUAGAUUCAGAUUUUUUUUAAAGAAAAUAAAAUAAUAAGAAUUUGUCAAGUUAUAUUAUAUUUUUAAAAUAAAUAAAAAUAAAUAAUAAUUACCAAUUUUUUUAACAUUGUUAACGCUAUCACGAAAACACUAAAUCAUAAACUUUAAAUCCUAAACCCUUAGGUAAACUCUAGAUCUUUGGGUAAACUCUAAACUUUUGGAUAAAUCCUAAACCUUAAAUCAUAAACAUCAAAAACUAAAUAUUAAAAACUCUAAAUCCUAAAUAGUAAACCCUAAACUCUUGGGAUUUAUGAUUUAUCCAAAGAUUCAAAGUUUAUGGUUAAGGAUCUAGGGUUUAUUAUUUUUAAAAUAUAGUUUUAAUGUUUAUGAUUUAUAGUUUAGGAUUUAUCCAAGAGUUUAUGUUUUAUCCGAGAGUUUAGAAUUUAAAAUUUAGGAUUUAGUUAUUUGCUAACGGAUUUAACACUAUUAAAAAAUUAUUUUUUGGUAAUUAUUAACAUUUUUAUUUAAAAAUAAUAAUAUAACUUGACAAAUUGUUAUUAUCUUGUUUUUUUUAAAAGAUAUUGAGUCUUAGAUAACUAAAUUCUAUUGGUUGAUGAACUUAAGGGUAUACUCAAGAAAAACUCUUUAAUAUAACAAUACAAAAAACAAAAGGGCAAAGACCCAAAACCUGAAGUAUUGGAUUCAUUUCUCUGAAUAAAUAGACUAAUCCAACAAUCCUCUUUAUAUCCUCCCGAGUGAUUUAGGAAUGUUCAUUACAUAGAAGAUUAUUGAAACUAAAAUCAAAAGCUAUUACUCUUGAUCAAAGUUUUAUUGACCAGAUGUGAAUAUCUGAAUAAAACAAACCAUUCUAUCAAUUACUUUACUUUGGAACAAAAUAAUUAAAAUUAGCUUUAGAUCUGAUUCACUGGAAUGUGUACUAUUUUCAGUGGAUUUUUCAAAGGAAUAGUAUUUCUAAUUAUUUCCGUUUCUUUCUUAUAUAUGGUAUUGUUAUUUUAAAUAAAAUAUGAUGUGGACAUCUUUAGAAAGAGCAACAAAAAAAGACUUUUAAAUUAUCAGAUAAUGUGGAGAAAAAAGUAGAAUAUAAUACUAAUUUCUUGGCGACCAAGUGCAUCUGACUAUUCGCAUUUUCUUGUGUCCCAAACAUAUUUGGUAUAACCCUCAAUUAUAUGUCCUUCUAUAAAUAUAUCCACACAUGCAUUGGUAGUUUUACAAUUCAUCAAAGUCUCAAAGCAAAAUAAGCAAAAAUGAAAAAGGAAGGUCGUCAACACGGCUUCGUUCGGACUGGGAUGAUUCAUCCGCCAGGAUUUAGUCCAAGACCCUCCAACCAAUUCAUGAACCGGCUUGAUUCGCCACCGGCUUCACGAGAAUUUACCAAAGUGACCAUCAAAACCUACCAACCAUUCUAAAUUUACAGGAAAAAAUGAGCGUUCCAAGUAUAGCAACUGCCAUGUGUCGCCGGCUAUGAUGUCUGCUGACACAUCCAAGGGUCGCCAACAGUUAAAGUCAAUAGAUUGGUGGGUUGAUGAUAAGCUAGA